UACAGAGGGUGCGAGCGUUGUCCGGAAUCACUGGGCGUAAAGGGCGCGUAGGUGGUGACCUAAGCGUGCGGUGAAAGCCCUGGGCUCAACCUGGGAACUGCAUUGGAUACUGGCGAUCUGGAGUGCGGUAGAGGGUGGCGGAAUUCCCGGUGUAGCAGUGAAAUGCGUAGAGAUGUGGAGGAAUACCGAUGGCGAAGGCAGCCUCCUGGGCCAACACUGACGCUCAUGCACGAAAGCGUGGGGAGCAAACAGG
rnacentral:rRNA from 1 species